rnacentral:lncRNA from 1 species
CCCGGCAUAAAGGAGACUGCUGAAGGAAGGAUCGUAAAUUGAAGGCUAGUCUGAGCUACAGACCCUCUUUUGAGAAACAACACAAAAAACAGGAAAAAAAAAAGAGGAAACGAAGGGAGAACUGUGUGUACUGACCCACCACUGUCACAGCAGCAUGUCACAAAAGAUGAUCCAUCCUGUCAGUGGGAUGAAGAGCUCCGUCCAGAAACCCAUCAGUAGUGCUGAAAAGGAUUCUGGUUUCUUCAUGUCUACUCGUACAUCCAGUCAUGGGCACAAGACUUGUAGUCGAUCAGUUCUUCGGGCUUAAACCACAGAUGGAUCUUUCUCAGCACUCUCCACUUAAUCACUGCCAUGAAUGAUGUUCCUGCCAACUUGAAUGCAGAAAUCCCCACGGAUAGUGCCUGGUUUUGAAUCAGCUGGAUUGGUCUCCCCCAGCAUCACUCGGCCCGUUUUCACCACAUUGAGCCCCUCCCAGACCAUGGCCACCACGGGCCCCCGAGUUCAUGUACUUCACCAGCCCCGGGAAGAAAGGACGGUCUUUCAGGUCGAUGUAAUGCUGCUUCAGGUGUUCUUCAGAGGCCCGAAGGAACUUCAUGGCCACCAGGCGGAACCCCUUCUGCUCAAUCAUUUGAUGAUCUCGCCCACCAGGCCGCGCUGCACGCCAUCUGGCUUGAUGGCAAUGAAGGUACACUCGAGGUUGGCCAUGGUCCGAAAGCCGGUGGGUCAGCUGGUGUCUGCGAUGAGCGACAGAAGCAAAGAG